rnacentral:sRNA from 1 species
UUGCAGCACGUCGCGAGAAGGAUAGCAGCGGCAUCCUUUUGUGUAGCGAUAGCGCAACAAAAGAUACAGCGGAUAGCCUGACCCGAC